rnacentral:rRNA from 1 species
AACGAACGCUGGCGGCAGGCUUAACACAUGCAAGUCGAACGCCCCGCAAGGGGAGUGGCAGACGGGUGAGUAACGCGUGGGAACAUACCCUUUUCUACGGAAUAGCUCUGGGAAACUGGAAUUAAUACCGUAUACGCCCUACGGGGGAAAGAUUUAUCGGGGAAGGAUUGGCCCGCGUUGGAUUAGCUAGUUGGUGGGGUAAAGGCCUACCAAGGCGACGAUCCAUAGCUGGUCUGAGAGGAUGAUCAGCCACAUUGGGACUGAGACACGGCCCAAACUCCACGGGAGGCAGCAGUGGGGAAUAUUGGACAAUGGGCGCAAGCCUGAUCCAGCCAUGCCGCGUGAGUGAUGAAGGCCUUAGGGUUGUAAAGCUCUUUCACCGAUGAAGAUAAUGACGGUAGUCGGAGAAGAAGCCCCGGCUAACUUCGUG